rnacentral:tRNA from 1 species
GUCAGGAUGGCCGAGUGGUCUAAGGCGCCAGACUCAAGUUCUGGUCCUCUACGAGGGCGUGGGUUCAAAUCCCACUUCUGACA